UACGGGGGGGGCAAGCGUUGUUCGGAAUUACUGGGCGUAAAGGGCUCGUAGGUGGCCAACUAAGUCAGACGUGAAAUCCCUCGGCUUAACCGGGGAACUGCGUCUGAUACUGGAUGGCUUGAGAUUGGGAGAGGGAUGCGGAAUUCCAGGUGUAGCGGUGAAAUGCGUAGAUAUCUGGAGGAACACCGGUGGCGAAGGCGGCAUCCUGGGCCAACACUGACGCUCAUGCACGAAAGCGUGGGGAGCAAACAGG
rnacentral:rRNA from 1 species